UAAAGAAUAACAGGGCUUUAUCCUCCUUUGGCAAACAGAACAUGGAAAUAAAUGCCUGCAUAUUUCUGUUUUGCCAAAGGAGAAUUGCCCUGCCAUUCGAUU
rfam:Populus trichocarpa scaffold_4_contig_68, whole genome shotgun sequence.